GGAUAAUGGUGGCAAUGGCAAUAAUAGUGGUGGGGGUAUGAAACCAUUUGGUUGGCAUGGUGAUGAUUAUGGUGGUGUCAUGAUGUGAUUAAGGCGGCAAUAUUGUGAGUGUGUUGGUCACGGUAGCAAUGACAGAGAUGAAGAUGCUAAUCGUGGUAGUGGCAAAGAUGAUAAUGAUGGUCAUAAAGAUGGUAUUGAUAGUGGUGGUACUGUUAUUUUUAUUUUCUAUUUUUUAAAAAAU
rnacentral:lncRNA from 1 species